rnacentral:rRNA from 1 species
UNUUCCGCAUGGGCGAAAGCCUGNCGGACGACGCCGCGUGGACGAUGAAGGCCGUAAGGUUGUAAAGUCCUUUUCUCUAUGAGGAAUAAGGGUGGGAGUGGAAAGCCCAUCUGAUGACGGUAAUGGAGGAAUAAGCACCGGCUAACUACGUGCCAGCAGCCGCGGUAAUACGUAGGGUGCGAGCGUUGUUCGGAGUUAUUGGGCGUAAAGGGCGUGUAGGCGGCUUGAGAAGUCUGAUUUGAAAUGCACUGGCUCAACUGGUGCGCUGGGUCAGAAACUUGCAGGCUAGAGUUCAUGGGGAGGAGCUGGAAUUCCAGGUGUAGGGGUGAAAUCUGUAGAGAUCUGGAAGAACACCGGUAGCGAAGGCGGGCUCCUAUGGAUGGACUGACGCUGAGGCGCGAAAGCGUGGGGAGCGAACAGGAUUAGAUACCCUGGUAGUCCACGCUGUAAACGAUGUGCACUAGGUAUGGGGUACGAGAUGUAUUCCGUGUCGGAGCGAACGCGUUAAGUGCACCGCCUGGGGAGUAUGCUCGCAAGGGUGAAACUCAAAAAAAUUGACGGA